rnacentral:lncRNA from 1 species
ACCCAAGUCCUAAUUGAACUAGGACUAAUUUUUUCUUACACUUGGCUUAUCCAAUAAACUAAUUGAACUUGAUCCAAUCAAGCCCAAACCAAAUCAAAUUAAAUAAUAUUCAAUUAGACUUAAUCUCAGCCCAUUGGCUUAAUCAAAUUAAGUCAAUUAGCAAUCAAAUUGCUAAUCGAUCCUCCGGCAACACUUGCACUAGGUUAAAUGUCAAUCGUAUUGAUCGUUUAACUCUAGAAUGAUUCUUAAUCAUUGAUCAACCAUCCGAUUGGAUCAUGAACUCUAAUGUAUGUGACUUCAUAGGUCCAAACCUAAGCCAGUAGCACAGAAAUAAAUUUUUGUACCAAUCGAAGUGACCGUCUAGCAAUGGUACCCGACGGUCGGAUAGGUCGAAUGUAUAAAACAACAUCCUUAGAACCCAUGCGGAUAUAGUUUCCAUAUAAUUCAUCCCCUUGACCAAAAUGCUCAUAGGACACCUCAGAGUUCAACUAUCAACUCUGAUCAGGUUAUCCACAUUGUAUUUCAAAAUAUCAAAUCCAUUUGAUGGAUUACCCUGGCCAAGAUUUUGCUAAAUUGAAAUACAGCGACUCAUUCUUCUCCAACUCUUGGAGUGGUCAAUCCCAUCUUGAUCACACUCUGACUUUGCAAGUACUUGACUGUAUUUAGAAGCCUUCCGUCACUGAAUUAGAAAUUUAAUUAGUCCAGUACCAAAGUAUAAUGAGUUGCUUGCAAGUCACUGAGGUGAUCUCAGAUCUAAGGGACACUUAUACCUAUAUCCCAUCAGAGACAUUCUCGAUAGCAGAAUGCUCUGGAGUUGGUCAUGUUCAAUGAUGAGGUAUCCUUACAUCUCAUCUGUAUGCCAUACCAGUGUCUCCACACUCCUUGGUUAAGAGGACAACCAACCCAUAUGGCCUACAAUGACCUAUGCUCGAUAGAAGCUAUCGUCCUUAUUAACAGCCCAUCAUUUGAUCGUGAAUAGUUUUAAGGACUAAUCGAUAAAUUCUCUCUUUAUCAAACCUAAAUAGUCCUAAGGACUUCAUCACAACAACAGAGUUCAUUAGAAGAUGAAAACUUAUAAUGAAAAUAUCAAAAAUAUAUUUAUUUAUUAACAAAUCAAUUAAUACAAGGUUGCUCAACCGUCAACAGCUUGACGAUUGACUUUUGAGACAUAUUUUGCAACAGCAACCUCUCCAAUCAAAGGCCCAGAUUAAAAGAUAAAUGAAACUAAGUAUGAAUAUGACUUAUUGAUCAAUGGAGGAGAAUCAAUAUGAAGAUCCAAGGAUCCUUAUUCACACUCCCAUCUCUCUUUUUAUAAAACCCUAGCCUCCUCACUCUAUAAAUAGAACCCCAAGGCCUCCCUCUUUUUGGAAUCAAACCAACGUCUAAAUUCUUUUCAAGCUUCUCUCUUUCUCUCUCCCUCUUCCUCUUCUUCAUAAGUCUAGGGGAGG